CCCCUCUCAGCAUUGCAUGUGGAGAGUUUCCAGUACUCUACCAGUCUUGGUGAUGGGAGGGAGAGUCAAGCAGAGGCAUACCCAUUCCAUUCCUAACUUGGGCAGUGGCUAAUGAGUGGAAGGCAAUCUGCUUCAAGU